rnacentral:misc_RNA from 1 species
UACGGAGGAUCCAAGCGUUAUCCGGAUUUAUUGGGUUUAAAGGGUCCGCAGGCGGGAUACUAAGUCAGUGGUGAAAGGCUGUUGCUUAACAAUGGCACUGCCAUUGAUACUGGUAUUCUUGAGUAUAGUUGAGGUAGGCGGAAUAAGUCAUGUAGCGGUGAAAUGCAUAGAUAUGACUUAGAACACCGAUUGCGAAGGCAGCUUACUAAGCUAUAACUGACGCUGAGGGACGAAAGCGUGGGUAGCAAACAGG